GAUCAAGCUACUAAGGGCACGAGGUGAAUGCCUUGGCUCCAGAAGUCGAUGAAGGACGUAGUAAGUUGCGAUAAGCCACGAGGAGCGACAAACACGCGCUGAUCCGUGGAUUUCCGAAUGGGGAAACCCGGCCAUCAAGGUCGAUGUCAUGUGAAUUCAUAGCAUGGCAUCGGGACACCCGCUGAAGUGAAACAUCUCAGUAAGCGGAGGAAAAGAAAUCAAAGAGAUUCCGUAAGUAGUGGCGAACGAAAGCGGAACAGCCUAAACCGGAAGAGUUUACUCUUCCGGGGUUGUGGGAUACUUAAAUAUGGUAUCGUGAAGAGAAGCUAAUCAGUUUGGAAAACUGAACCAGAGAGGGUGACAGUCCCGUAAGUGUAAUCGAAUCGUAACCUAGAGUUUCCCGAGUAAUGCGGGACACGUGAAACCCUGCAUGAAUCCAGGCGGACCACCGUCUAAGGCUAAAUACUAACUGGAGACCGAUAGUGAACAAGUACCGUGAGGGAAAGGUGAAAAGGACCCCUGCUAGGGGAGUUUAAAGUUCCUGAAACCCCGUGCCUACAAAGUGUGGGAGCAUCUUCGGAUGUGACCGCGUGCCUUUUGCAUAAUGAGUCUGCGAGUUAUUGUCAGUGGCAAGCCUAAGCACUAUUGGUGCGCAGGCGAAGCGAAAGCGAGUGUGAAUAGCGCGUCCAGUCGCUGGCGAUAGACCCGAAGCGGAGGUGAUCUAACCAUGGGCAGGUUGAAGCUGAGGUAAAACUCAGUGAAGGACCGAACCGUUGUACGUUGAAAAGUGCUCGGAUGACCUGUGGUUAGGAGUGAAAGGCUAAUCAAACCCCGUGAUAGCUGGUUCUCUUCGAAAUAGCUUUUGGGCUAGCGUCGGGACAGUACUCCGAGGAGGUAGAGCACUGAUUGGCUUAGGGUCCCUAACAGGAUACCAAAACCAGUUAAACUCCGAAUGCCUCGGAUCCCAUUAUCCCGGCAGUCAGUCGGCGAGUGAUAAGAUCCGUCGUCGAGAGGGAAACAACCCAGACCAUCGGCUAAGGUGCCCAAAUACCGCUCAGUGGUAAGGAUGUGACGUUACAUAGACAGUGAGGAUGUUGGCUUAGAAGCAGCCACCAUUUAAACAGUGCGUAACAGCUGACUCAUCGAGUGACGUUGCGCCGAAAAUGAUUGGCGAUCAAGCGGUAUACCGAAGCCAUGGAUGUCUUUUUAAGACAUGGUAGAAGAGCGUAGUCAGGCCAUUGAAGCUUCUCUGUAAAGAGGGGUGGAGGGCUGACUAGUGAGAAUGCAGACAUGAGUAGCGAUAAACAAAGUGAGAAUCUUUGUCUCCGUAAACCCAAGGUUUCCUGGGCCAGGCUCGUCCUCCCAGGGUUAGUCGGGACCUAAGGCGAGGCCGAAAGGCGUAGUCGAUGGACAUCAGGUUAAUAUUCCUGGACUAAAGUACAAUAUGGGACGCAUGAUGAAGGAUGGCACACAUUAUGAUAUGUGAUUCUAGGCUUCGGCCGAAAUACGCCAUUUGAAUUUGUGCCGAGAAAACCGUACGUGCCCGUACCAAAACCGACACAGGUAGGUGAGUCGAAUAGACUAAGGAGCGCGAGAGAAAUCUCUCCAAGGAACUCGGCAAAUUAGCCCCGUAACUUCGGGAGAAGGGGUGCCCACUUCGGUGGGCCACAGUAAAUUGGGACUGGCGACUGUUUACCAAAAACACAGCUCUCUGCUAAGUCGUGAAGACGACGUAUAGGGAGUGACACGUGACCAAUGCGGAAAGAUUAAGGUGACUUGUUAGCACUUGAUGCGAAGCUCGGAGCCCAAGUCCCCGUGAAUGUCGGCCGUAACUAUAACGGUCCUAAGGUAGCGAAAUUCCUUGUCGGGUAAGUUCCGACCUGCACGAAUCGUGCAACGACCGGUCCGCUGUCUCGGAGAGAAUCUCGGCGAAGUUGUAAUUGCGGUGAAGAUGCCGCAUACCCGCAGUAGGACGGAAAGACCCUGUGCACCUUUACUGUAAGCAAGUAUUGUGUUCUGGUUAGUGAUACGUAGAGUAGGUGGGAGACUUUGAAGUGAUGGCUUAGGUUGUCAUGGAGUCGCAAUGUGAAACACCACUUUUUAUUAAUUAGGAUUCUAACAAUGAUUCCUCUGAAGCGAGGCAUUGGACAGUGCUUGCGGGUCAGUUUGACUGGGGCGGUUUCCUCCCAAAGAGUAACGGAGGAGCACUAAGGUACCUUCAGCAUGGUUAGCAACCAUGCGUCGAGCGUAUGCGUAGAAGGGUGCUUGACUGCGAGACCUACAAGUCGAGCAGGUACGAAAGUAGGUGCAAAUGAUCCGGUGGUAGAACGUGGAAUUGCCAUCGCUCAACGGACAAAAGGUACGCCAGGGAUAACAGGCUGAUCGCGCCCAAGAGUUCAUAUCGACGGCGCGGUUUGGCACCUCGAUGUCGGCUCGUCACAUCCUGGGGCUGAAGAAGGUCCCAAGGGUUCGGCUGUUCGCCGAUUAAAGUGGCACGCGAGCUGGGUUCAGAACGUCGUGAGACAGUUCGGUCCUUAUCCACUGUGGGCGCAGGAAACUUGAGGGGUUCAAUCCCCAGUACGAGAGGACCGGGAUUGACGUACCUAUGGUGUGGCAGUUGUUCUAUCAAGGGCAGCGCUGCGUAGCCAAGUACGGAAGAGAUAAGCGCUGAAAGCAUCUAAGUGCCAAGCUCAUCCCAAGAUGAAGUUUCCCACUCCUCGUGAGUGUAAGACCCCCGGUAGACUACCGGGUUGAUAGGCCAGGAGUGUAAGUGUGGUGACACAUUCAGCUGACUGGUACUAAUCGGUCGAGGGCUUGAUUAC
rnacentral:rRNA from 1 species